rnacentral:rRNA from 1 species
UACGAAGGGGGCUAGCGUUGUUCGGAUUUACUGGGCGUAAAGCGCACGUAGGCGGAUUGUUAAGUCAGGGGUGAAAUCCCGGAGCUCAACUCCGGAACUGCCUUUGAUACUGGCAAUCUUGAGACUGGAAGAGGUUAGUGGAAUUCCCAGUGUAGAGGUGAAAUUCGUAGAUAUUGGGAAGAACACCAGUGGCGAAGGCGGCUAACUGGUCAGUACUGACGCUGAGGUGCGAAAGCGUGGGGAGCAAACAGG